ACGUCUCAAACACAAAAAUCACUUACAAGCAGAAUUGUGACAUUACGCUAGUACUAUCUGAACAAAAUCUUGCAUACACCACUAUGCAUCAGAGUGCACCAAUGUUAGUCAGACCUGAUAAACAAUGGAAAGUGUGUCAAUAAAGUCGAUAUAUUGAAUAAAAUAUGAAAAAUGUUAUUGACAUAAAUUAUAAUAAAAAUGCUUAAAUAGAGUUAUAUGGGUGUGAUUAUCUCUCUAGUCUCCCCCUAAAAGGCAAUCUCUUGGACAAAGCUCUCCCACCUCAAUUGAUUCCAAAAGCCAAAGGCCCCAGGACCCACUUGUUCAACCUCCCUGUUGCUUGACUCCACCAGAAUCAUCAGCCACCACAAGAUAAUGAAACAACUUUUCCUACCCAUUAACUUGUCUCCACGUGUCACCUGUGGAUUCUCUCCCCACUUGGUAGUUGCCUAGUUGUCAUUUUCCGUCCUUUGCCCCUUCACAUUUCACAGUGCCCCAUAAGUCUCCAGCAUUCUUGCUCAACUUCACUACUCCAACUACAAGUUUUACAACACAAAAUAGAGAGCAAGAAAGAAAAGAAAAGAAAAGAGAAACCAAAAUUAGUCAGUCCAAUGUUGAAAAAAGAGAAGAGUGGGGGGUUUGAUGGAAGUAGCAACAAUUGGGCAAGGGUGUGUGACAGUUGCCAUUCCGCAACAUGUACCGUUUACUGUCGGGCGGAUUCCGCCUAUUUGUGUGCGGAUUGUGAUGCCCGCAUACAUGCAGCAAGUCUCAUGGCUUCUCGCCACGAGCGUGUAUGGGUUUGCGAAGCCUGC
rnacentral:lncRNA from 1 species